UAAUACGUAGGGUGCAAGCGUUGUCCGGAUUUAUUGGGCGUAAAGAGCUCGUAGGCGGUUAGUCACGUCGGAUGUGAAAACCCGGAGCUUAACUCCGGGCCUGCAUUCGAUACGGGCUGACUAGAGUGUUGUAGGGGAGACUGGAACUCCUGGUGUAGCGGUGAAAUGCGCAGAUAUCAGGAAGAACACCGGUGGCGAAGGCGGGUCUCUGGGCAACUACUGACGCUGAGGAGCGAAAGCGUGGGGAGCAAACAGGAUUAGAUACCCUGGUAGUCCACGCCGUAAACGGUGGGCGCUAGGUGUGGGGAACAUUCCACGUUCUCCGUGCCGCAGCUAACGCAUUAAGCGCCCCGCCUGGGGAGUACGGCCGCAAGGCUA
rnacentral:rRNA from 1 species